rnacentral:tRNA from 1 species
UUGGUAGAAGCCAAAGUUUAGGCAUAUUACUGUUAAUAAUAUAAUUGAAAUUUAUUUUUUCCUAUCAAG